rnacentral:rRNA from 1 species
UACAGAGGUCUCGAGCGUUGUUCGGAUUCAUUGGGCGUAAAGGGCGCGUAGGCGGUCAGCACAAGUCAGUUGUGAAAUCUCCGGGCUUAACUCGGAAAGGUCAACUGAUACUGUGCGACUAGAGUGCAGAAGGGGCAACUGGAAUUCUCGGUGUAGCGGUGAAAUGCGUAGAUAUCGAGAGGAACACCUGCGGCGAAGGCGGGUUGCUGGGCUGACACUGACGCUGAUGCGCGAAAAGCCAGGGGAGCGAACGGGG